rnacentral:rRNA from 17 species
UGUCGUCAGCUCGUGUUGUGAAAUGUUGGGUUAAGUCCCGCAACGAGCGCAACCCUUAUCCUUUGUUGCCAGCGAUUAGGUCGGGAACUCAAAGGAGACUGCCAGUGAUAAACUGGAGGAAGGUGGGGAUGACGUCAAGUCAUCAUGGCCCUUACGACCAGGGCUACACACGUGCUACAAUGGCGCAUACAAAGAGAAGCGACCUCGCGAGAGCAAGCGGACCUCAUAAAGUGCGUCGUAGUCCGGAUUGGAGUCUGCAACUCGACUCCAUGAAGUCGGAAUCGCUAGUAAUCGUGGAUCAGAAUGCCACGGUGAAUACGUUCCCGGGCCUUGUACACACCGCCCGUCACACCAUGGGAGUGGGUUGCAAAAGAAGUAGGUAGCUUAACCUUCGGGAGGGCGCUUACCACUUUGUGAUUCAUGACUGGGGUGAAGUCGUAACAAGGUAACCGUAGGGGAACCUGCGGUUGGAUCACCUCCUUACCUUAAAGAAGC